AUUGAACGCUGGCGGCAUGCCUUACACAUGCAAGUCGAACGGCAGCACGGGUGCUUGCACCUGGUGGCGAGUGGCGAACGGGUGAGUAAUACAUCGGAACAUGUCCUGUAGUGGGGGAUAGCCCGGCGAAAGCCGGAUUAAUACCGCAUACGAACUACGGAUGAAAGCGGGGGACCUUCGGGCCUCGCGCUAUAGGGUUGGCCGAUGGCUGAUUAGCUAGUUGGUGGGGUAAAGGCCUACCAAGGCGGCGAUCAGUAGCUGGUCUGAGAGGGCGACCAGCCACACUGGGACUGAGACACGGCCCAGACUCCUACGGGAGGCAGCAGUGGGGAAUUUUGGACAAUGGGCGAAAGCCUGAUCCAGCAAUGCCGCGUGUGUGAAGAAGGCCUUCGGGUUGUAAAGCACUUUUGUCCGGAAAGAAAUCCUUGGCCCUAAUACGGUCGGGUGAUGACGGUACCGGAAGAAUAAGCACCGGCUAACUACGUG
rnacentral:rRNA from 1 species